CAACAGAACUUUACUUUCUCACAAUACUGGAGGCUAGAAGACCAAGAUCAAGGUGUUGGCAGGGUUGGUUUCUUCUGAGUCAUCUCUCCAUGGCUUGUAGAUCACCAUCUUUUCUCUCUGUCUUCACAUGGUCU
rnacentral:miRNA from 1 species